AGUGAACGCUGGCGGUAGGCCUAACACAUGCAAGUCGAACGGCAGCACAGUAAGAGCUUGCUCUUACGGGUGGCGAGUGGCGGACGGGUGAGGAAUACAUCGGAAUCUACUUUUUCGUGGGGGAUAACGUAGGGAAACUUACGCUAAUACCGCAUACGACCUACGGGUGAAAGCAGGGGAUCUUCGGACCUUGCGCGAUUGAAUGAGCCGAUGUCGGAUUAGCUAGUUGGCGGGGUAAAGGCCCACCAAGGCGACGAUCCGUAGCUGGUCUGAGAGGAUGGCCACCACACUGGAAACGAGAAACCGGCCCCACCCCCAAGGGGGGGAGCAGGAGGGAAAUUUUGGAAAUGGGGGGAAGCCCGACGCAGCCCCUCCGCGUGGGGGAAAAAGGGCCUCCGGUUUUAAAACCCUUUUUUUUGGGAAAAAAAAGCGGGUGGUUAACCCCCCGCUUUUUUGCCGGACCCAAAAAAAAAACCACCGCCAACUUCGGU
rnacentral:rRNA from 1 species